rnacentral:rRNA from 1 species
GACGAACGCUGGCGGCGUGCUUAACACAUGCAAGUCGAACGCAGUGGCGAACGGGUGAGUAACGCAUAAUCAACCUGCCCUUCAGAGGGGGACAACAGUAGGAAACGACUGCUAAUACCGCAUACUGAAGGAGGGGAUUGCGUCUGAUUGGCUAGUUGGAGGGGUAACGGCCCACCAAGGCGAUGAUCAGUAGCCGGUCUGAGAGGAUGAAUGGCCACAUCGGGAACGAGAAACGGCCCCGAAUUCUAAGGGAGGCAGCAGUGGGGGAUCUUCCGGCAUGGACGAAAGGCUGAAGGAGCAACGCCGCGUGAGUGAUGAAGGCCUUCGGGUUGUAAAGAUCUGUUAAUCGGGACGCGGUACCGGAAUAGAAAGCCACGGCUAACUACGUGCCAGCAGCCGCGGUAAUUC